UAAAUUUUAACUAAAUUUGAAAUGAAUUCAAAUAUUAAAAAUAUUAAUUAGACUUAAAUGAAGUAUUUUUCACAUAUAGCUUAUCCGUUUCUAUUUAUAAUUUCAUUCAUUGCUGUGGCACCAUCACCAACCUCUAUUGCUUUUUUUAUUAUUAUUAUUUUUUGAUAUUUUAAAAAUUUUAGAAUAAAAUAAAAAUUAUUGAUUUGAAAUUUUAAACUCUUUAGACUAUGAGACAAGCACUCCACCCCAUUAUCGUUGUCAUUACCACAAGUAUCACUAUUGUCAUCAUUUUUAAGAAAAUAAUAUUUGUUCAGCGUCUAUAGUUAUUUUUAUUAUAAAGUAAUUUUGCCAUAUAUAAAUAUAUAUAGUUAUGAAUUCUUUUAAACUCUUGCUUGACUAAUUAAAUUAGUCACUGUUACAAAAACACAGAGCUCAGAACUGGAAUUAAUUUUUUUAAAAAAAAUAUUGAUUUCUCAUUACCAUGGUUGAAUGGUAAAACAUAGUUUAAGUUGUAAAGAAGUUAUACGGUUAUUAUAUUUCAUUAUAUAUAAAAUAAAUAUAUAGUUCUUUGGUUAUAUAUUUGUUGCCAUAUAAAUAUUUAUGUUGUUACCCUUGAGAUGAGAAUUUUUGAAAAGGAAUUAAAAGAAAAGAUAGUCAUAUCUGAUAAAUGGAGCACGGCCGAGUCUAAAACAAGAAACAGAAGCUGGAGAAAGCAUCGAAGUGCAAAGCCCAAUCAAAUAGUUGUCUUCGAGAUGUUAGCCCAUGGCCUAGCAUUCGAUGGAUUUGCGGGUCAUGCAAGUGGAAGACAGGCUGGAGCAAAAGCAUGCAGCGACGAUCGUGAAUUCACAGACCAUGCCGCGAGUAAAAUUGCUGGUCCACAGAAAUAUAUUUAUAUUUCCCAUUUUAAGCUGCCUGGCCGUUGAUGUGACAGUAGCUCACUUGGUACAAUUAUACAAAAUGUCUUUCUUUCCCCCACAGGAGAGAAGGAAGAAAAAAGAAGAAAGAAAAAUCUCUGUAUGGAUAAAACACUGUCUCUACGGAAAUGAAUGCGUCCCUCCGCCACAUGGGCGUGUCCGGUUUUCACAAGCUCCACAAUCAUGGUGACCAAUUAAUAAGGCUAAGCCUAAAACCUAGCAGUUGUCCGUAAGCCAGAAAUGUCAUAAAAAAUCUCAAGGUGGCUUAUGUCUUUAGGUCUCCUUUGGAUGACAAGACAGGCAUCAGAGUUGUUCUGGUCGACUUCCAGUGGACUCAAGUCUGGGUACGUAUGCUAAUCUGAAGAUGUUAUUAACUUCAUCUCCAUGUGAGUGCGAUAGAAUCUCUGUCCAAUAAAUUCAAUAGUUUUUCUUUCGAAAUAUAUUUUCAUCAUUAUUUUAAUAAAAUUAAUCUAUAUAUUCCCUCUGUUGUGUUGUAAUGGGAAGUUAGUAGACGUUCAAGA
rnacentral:misc_RNA from 1 species